rnacentral:rRNA from 1 species
CCUACGGGGGGCAGCAGUGAGGAAUAUUGGUCAAUGGCCGGAAGGCUGAACCAGCCAAGCCGCGUGAAGGACGAAGGUGCCAAGCAUUGUAAACUUCUUUUGUCAAGGGACAAAAUCAGGCUCGCGAGCCUGACCGAGGGUACUUGAAGAAAAAGCAUCGGCUAACUCCGUGCCAGCAGCCGCGGUAAUACGGAGGAUGCGAGCGUUAUCCGGAUUUAUUGGGUUUAAAGGGUGCGUAGGCGGGCUGUUAAGUCAGCGGUAAAAGCCCGGGGCUCAACCCCGGCGAGCCGUUGAAACUGGCAGUCUGGAGUUGGAGAGAAGUAUGCGGAAGGCGUGGGGUCGCGGUG